AUAAGAUUUUGCUGUAAAUGUUACGUGGGAGGGCUGACUGAUCGCAUUACGUCUCAUAAACAACGUUACUAUCGUAGUGUAUAUGGUAUCGCAGCGAUUAUCAAGGUCUAGUAUUUGCACAUGCACGAUGAGAAGAUACGGAGUAUCUUUGUAUUAAUAUGUGCUGCAUUGUCAUAAAAAUCUUGAGAGGAAAUUGAAGUGAUAAAAUCUCGAAGGUAAUACAUAAAAGUCUCAAUAGAGUAUUAAAUGACAAUUUACAUUUGUCACAUGUCCUAAAACUUUAUUUACAACAAUUCAUAGAUGUUUAAUUUGACAUAAGGUACUAUUAAGUUUAUAUCGCCAGGAUAAAUUAAUAAUCAAGACUUUCCUUUCCCUCGAUCAGUCUGGCAAAAUUUAUUUGUACUUAGGUACACGACCAAGUUUUCGGUCCUUAUCAAGUGUAUAACAUUAAUAUUAGCAAGUCAUUUUCUGCAAUAAAUACACAGGCAAAGUAAUAUAAUAUAAAAGUUAUACAAAUUAUUAGGAUGAACAACUUACUGAAAACACAUCCUUACAUUACAGAGGCCAGCAAACAAGUGAUAAGUAUGAGAAAAUGCUAUGUGUUUUUGUCAUUGUCUUAUAUUUAUCACUUGUUUGCUGGCCUCUGUGAUGUAAGGAUGUGUUUUUCAUCAGGAAUAUCUCGCACACUAUUCGUUAUUUCGGAAGUCAUUUUCAACCAAAAAUGAUUUGCUAAUAUUAAUGUUAUACACUUGAUAAAAUUUACAAAGAGACACAGAGAAUCUACCGGUUGUUUAUGACAUACUUCUCAAAAACACAUAGCAUUGUCUCAUCACUUGUUCGCUGGCCUCUGUCCUUUGUGAUGUAAGGAUGUUUUUCGUCAGGAAUAUCUCGCACACUAUUCGUUAUUUCGGAAGUCAUUUUCAACCAGUAAGUUGUUCAUCCUAAUAAUUUUUAUAACUUUUAUUAUAUUACUUUGCCUUUGUAUUUAUUACAGAAAAUGACUUGCUAAUAUUAAUGUUAUAUACUUGAUAAAAUUUACAAAGAGACACAGAGAAUCUACCGGUUGUUUAUGACAUACUUCUCAAAAACACAUAGCAUUGUCUCAUCACUUGUUCGCUGGCCUCUGUCCUUUGUGAUGUAAGGAUGUUUUUCGUCAGGAAUAUCUCGCACACUAUUCGUUAUUUCGGAAGUCAUUUUCAACCAGUAAGUUGUUCAUCCUAAUAAUUUUUAUAACUUUUAUUAUAUUACUUUGCCUUUGUAUUUAUUACAGAAAAUGACUUGCUAAUAUUAAUGUUAUAUACUUGAUAAAAUUUACAAAGAGACACAGAGAAUCUACCGGUUGUUUAUGACAUACUUCUCAAAAACACAUAGCAUUGUCUCAUCACUUGUUUGCUGGCCUCUGUCUUUUGUGAUGUAAAGAUGUUUUUCGUCAGGAAUAUCUCGCACACUAUUCGUUAUUUCGGAAGUCAUUUUCAACCAGUAAGUUGUUCAUCCUAAUAAUUUUUAUAACUUUUAUUAUAUUACUUUGCCUUUGUAUUUAUUACAGAAAAUGACUUGCUAAUAUUAAUGUUAUAUACUUGAUAAGGCUCGAAACGUCGUGUACCUAACAAUAAGUACAAAUAAUUUGCCAGACUGAUCGAGGGAAAGGAAAAUCUUAAUUAUUAAUUUGACAUAAACUUUAUGAAACUUUAUGCGCAUUCUGCAUCCUUGAAAGGAUAGAAAAUAUAUAAUUCUUUUCUCGGCAAUAAAUAAGCUUUUAUUUAAACGCUUUGAAUUUUGUGUACACUGUGUUCUAUUAAUGUCUAAGUUUCAGUCGCUAAAAGUACUGCGACAAUGCUCAAGACAAUGUUUCAGGGACGAGUAACAAUUUGUGAGCAGUCGCGCUAUCAAAAACGUAUAUAGUGUGUCGAGCAAGAAAAUAUAAUACAAUCGGAAGUACUCGCUUACUAUCGAUAUUGAUCUCCCCAGACUAAAAUAGUUACUAUUAUUCAUUACGAAAACGUAAAACAUAAUACUUGUUCUCUUCUUCUUUAAUAUUAUUAACGCAUAACUUAAGAAUUUUCGCAGGAAACGGGAGAGGAAUAAUUCCUUUUCUGACAAGGAGUGCACGUAACUGAGCAGCCUAAGAACUAUACCCAACAUUAUAAUUAUGUCGUUAGUUGUAUAAUUAUAUACAUAUCACUUGGAAAAAUUAUCAAACGCAUCGGACACACAAACGUUUAAGCAAAGUUUGAAAAUACUUAAAAAUACGGAAAUCAGAAUAACAAGCGUGUUCUCUCUAUGCUUAACGGUGCCAUUUAAUUUUUUCCUUGGAUAUCAAGAUAGGCCAAAACACUUUGUAUUUUAAAAUUCUUUAGCUGUUAAACCGUCGAAGACGAAGAAGUUAGCAAAUACACAUGUAGUUGGAUUUGAGAAAAAGAAACGAGUCGUUUUCCUUGAAAAAGGAAUAACGACUGCGAAUGUCUUUUAAUGUAUGAUUUCCACAUCGAUCUUUUUGAUUCAAAGCUGCACUUUAAGUUUUGAAAAUAUCGCCGAGCUUCCCAAAAUGAAAGACAUUCCUCAAAGCAAUAGAAAUCUUAUAACAGACGAAUAGAAGAGUUUCAAGGAAGCAUUUUCUCUCCUACAUUUAUUUAUUUUUUAGCAGUAUUCAUACGUCUGCAAUGAAAUUAAUUGUGUGUUCCCAAUGAUUAAUUACAUUUUAAAUGAGUCCGAAUAGCAAUCAUUUGCGUAUCAUCGUCGAUAUCUUAAUAUUUAUUUGCUUUUCUUCUUGAUUGCGAUAAAAAUCAAAAAGUUACAAUUAAAUUUAAUUAAUUAAAUCUGAUUGUUUCUUAAAUGAAUAAAUAUAAAAUUCCUUAUAUAACGUGCGCUAUUACAAUUAAAACUAAGUUGCCGUCAAAUAAUACAGAAAUAAUGCAUUUUUUCCGCAAUCUUUUUUCUUAGGAUGACGUAACGUGAACCUCGGACGGUAUGACUCUCUGAAACGCAAACGAGUGGAAUAACGGCUUCUCAUGUAAACCUGUUCUUGCCGCAUCAUGCGGUUUUGAGUUGUCAUUUAAUUGACGUUAUCAAUUCUUUUAGAACGGAUAUGCCGCUUAUUGCGUCAUUGCGUGCGAUAUCGCAUAUCGAAAGGAAACGUUGUCUCAAAUUGUCCGUUUAUGCCUGCGCUUGAACGACUAGCCUCUAGGUUUGUGUCCCUUAUGCACGAAAGGGUAAGGGCGUACGCUUCUUACGUAGAAAAAAGGGAAGAAAGUAAGUAGGUACGACGUCGUCACUAUUCUAAGCGAUUCAAAAAAUAGGUACUUUACGAGGUAAUUUAGAUGCGCGGUUGGCAUGUAUAAUGCCUUAGUUAUUUACAAUGGCACACACGCGUCACGUUUCAUCGAAUUCGUAAUGUCAUUAAUAUACAAUGUAAUCUCCUGGCCGCUCCUAUUUUACACACCCUUCAUGUCACCAUCCACCCUUUCCCUGCGCCUCGGCGCGCUCGCAUUUCCAUACUGCCGCAGAGCAAUUAAUCUGGCCUGUCGUCCGCGUUAAUUGCCCGCGGUAUUAUUCUCGCUGCAAUCCGUGCAGUGAAUCCCGCUCUCAGCCUAAAGUAUGUACAAUGUGAAUAAGACAGGAUGAUCAAUGGUGGCAUUUCCCGUGUUCUGGAUCACAACGCGCGUCGCGCGACGCAGCAAAUCACCCCGAAUUCGCACAGCGAACAGUGAUCCCCGUAUCGCGCCAUGCGAUCCAAUAAUCUAUUAUUGACAUUACGGUUAUUCGACCGGCGCAUCACCGGUAUCAUCACGCAUUUUCGUACGGACGAGAACUCAGGAGAGACGGAGCCUGGUGUACCGACCACUCGUUGAUCAUCCUAACGCGGAAUCGGUAUACAAUAUUUUCCGUAUCGAAAAAUAGCUGGACCAGCCAAACAACGGCGUAUCUACGCUCGACGCCAUCCGCGAGGGAGGAGCUACUUGACGAAAAAGAAAAAAAAUCUAUCCUGCGACAGUCGCGUGUAUAUUCGCGGAAGGUGCACGAGAUCACCUCUCAUGCGACACCGAAUGCCGAGUGUACCUCAUGAAUAUAUCCUGCACUGGUAGUAUAUUGCAUCGAAAUGUCACGUAAUGGCACCGCGUGACGCCUCGAAUACUCAUUUUCGCUUUAUCCGACGAAAUGAGGGUCAUUAAUAAAAGCACGCGCCGCUGCGACGUUUUUUAAGUGGUGGAAUUAAUGCUGUUACAGCUGAGGAUUGCACGCGCGCGCGCGUGUUUAAACAAAAGUUUCAAAUGUGUGUAAAAUUUAAGCCAUUCGCAGAGCCUGUAUGUAAAAUAAUUAUUUUCUUGCGCAACAUAUUCUAAUCAAUUAAAAGCAUAACUCCUGUAUACCUGACGUAAUUAUAUGCCGAACUGAGCGCCGAACGUACAACUGUAUAAUGCAGAUUUAAUCGAUCAUGUUCCUACCGUUUAAAAUUGUUCAUUAAAAUGAUCUUUUUGUACAUUAAAUAUAUAAAAAAUUGUUUAAAUUAUA